AUUGAACGCUGGCGGCAGGCCUAACACAUGCAAGUCGAACGGUAACAGGAAACAGCUUGCUGUUUCGCUGACGAGUGGCGGACGGGUGAGGAAUGUCUGGGAAACUGCCUGAUGGAGGGGGAUAACUACUGGAAACGGUAGCUAAUACCGCAUAACGUCGCAAGACCAAAGAGGGGGACCCUCGGGCCUCUGGCCAUCGGAUGUGCCCAGAUGGGAUUGGCUUGUUGGUGGGGUAACGGCUCACCAAGGCGACGAUCCCUAGCUGGUCUGAGAGGAUGACCAGCCACACUGGAACUGAGACACGGUCCAGACUCCUACGGGAGGCAGCAGUGGGGAAUAUUGCACAAUGGGCGCAAGCCUGAUGCAGCCAUGCCGCGUGUAUGAAGAAGGCCUUCGGGUUGUAAAGUACUUUCAGCGGGGAGGAAGGGAGUAAAGUUAAUACCUUUGCUCAUUGACGUUACCCGCAGAAGAAGCACCGGCUAACUCCGUG
rnacentral:rRNA from 1 species